rnacentral:rRNA from 1 species
AGGAUAAUCUUGGGAAACUGAGGAUAAUACUCCAUAGAUCUAGGAUGCUGGAAUGCACUUAGAUUAAAAGUUCCGGCGCCUAAGGAUGAGUCUGCGGACUAUCAGGUAGUAGUCAGGGUAAAGGCCUGACUAGCCUACGACGGAUACGGGUUGUGAGAGCAAUAACCCGGAGACGAUAUCUGAGACACGAUAUCGGGCCCUACGGGGCGCAGCAGGCGCGAAAACUUCACACUGUGCGAAAGCACGAUGAGGGAAUCCCAAGUGCUUGCUCGUAAGAGUAAGCUGUUUUUAUGUAUAAAAAGCAUAGAGAGUACGGGCUGGGUAAGACGGGUGCCAACCGCCGCGGUAAUACCUGCAGCUCAAGUGGUGACCACUAUUAUUGGGCCUAAAACGUUC